rnacentral:lncRNA from 1 species
UGAUGUGAUUAUUUGCUUUUCAGAGCAAUUUAAGCACAGUCAUUUUGGAGAAAAUCACUGCAUAGUAAUUUCCUCAUGAGGUCAGACCCUCAACAGAUCAAAGGAAAUACCCUGACAUGUUAGAACCACCAUCAGCAGACCCUCAUGCAGCCAUGAUGAGAAAUCAAACCCAUCCAGAGAGGAAGGUGUUUGCUAAUGUAUGCGUGUGUUUUCUCCCCUCAGCCCAUUGUCACUACCCUGCCAGAGAAGAGUUGGAGGGCCGGAGUCUCGUAAAUCAAAGCGUCGCAUCAUGGAGACACAGACCUGUCAACCCCCGGUUACUGCCAACCCUGUUGAGCUGCUGCCAUGUUGCCAUGGCUACAUGGGAGGAGCCAACCUUUACAACUCCAGGAAGUCGGAGGAGGAGCUUAACAUGUGCCCUCCUCCCAAACGAAUGUAUGCCUUCUACCACAGCACUUACAACGGAAACACUACUGCAUUUCCCAGGAAUCUUCAUCACUACAACAGCACGGCAGACACCUGCAGACUUACACCAGCGUGCUUCCCUUAUUCCUUUGACUCCAGUGGAAACCAUCACCACCAUCUCUACCAGCACCACCACCACCAGCACCAGCCAGGCCAGAAGCAGCUGGAGCCCCUCGUCCUGCGUGACGUCCCUCCCUAUCAGGCCGGUGUGGGCGCGGGGGGAGGUGUUGGAGCAGGAGGCAGAGCAGGGAUGGGGAUGGGAGGGGGUGAUGGGACUGUAGCCAGGAGCUGGGGAGGCGGGGAGGCGGUGAGGAUCCUGGCGAGGCGUGUCACACCAGAUGGGAAAGUGCAGUACCUGGUAGAGUGGGACAACGUGAGUUUGUACUGA